rnacentral:lncRNA from 1 species
AGGCGCGGGGCCCCCGAGCUCCCCGCGGCGCUGCCGCGUCCUGCGGAGCGGAGCCCGGCCGGGGCGAGGGGCGACAAACCCCUGCGCCCCGCCGAGCCCACUCGUGGUGGGUGCCGCGAGGCAGCGGGAGCCCCAGCCUAGCGAGGGGCUUGCAGCAGGCACAGGCAAGGGGUGGAGGUGGUAGCUGUCUGAAGCAGCCAAGAUCUUCAGACGAUAUCGUUAGUUAUCAUCUUACCGUGCCAAAGUUUGCUGGGCUCCGUGCAGCACAGAGCAAAAUGACAUAUUCCCUGCCCCAAGGAGUUUACAAUCUAAAGUGGAUCUGACAACACGAGGGUGUGACAGGACACCAUGAGUUUGCAGCAACAGGAUCAUGCUGUUGAGGAAAACUAUUUAGGUGUCAGAGAAGUCUGAAUACAGAUGGUUCUGAUUAUGAAGAGAGGACAUAAGAACAUAGACAAGAGACUUACGUAUCUGGACAGACCACAAGGAUCAGGUCUUGAAAUGCUGUGUGAGAAACUGACUACAGAUGAGAAAAAGCGACAGCUCUGCCAGAGGCUUCUUGGGAUGGCAGGAUGGAUCUGACAAUGCAAGGUGUGACAGAAUGCCACAAGGUUGCAGCAACAGAAUCCUGGGAUCCAGUGCCCAGACAAAGAGCAACUGUAAGUUUAUGGAGUUUUCUCCACUAAAGAAACAGAUGACAAAACAAGAUGUACUAACCAACCAACUAGAAGAUGGCUUUUUACAACUUGACUCUCCAGUUGAGUUUGGAAGCAUUCCCAAUGCAAAUAUGAUGGCCAGAGGCCAGAUGCACAGCUAA